GCGGAUGGCCAGGCGACCGCGGUCCCUUCGGGGGCCGAGGAAAGUCCGGACUCCAUGAAGCGACGGUGCCGGGUAACGCCCGGCCGGGGAAACCCGAGGGAAAGCGCCACAGAGAACAGACCGCCGUGCCUCGGCACGGUAAGGGUGAAACGGUGGGGUAAAAGCCCACCGCGGGACUGGCAACAGGACCGGCACGGCAAGCCCCACCGGGAGCAAUGCCGAAUAGGGACCCCGCGCGGCGCAGGCCGCAGGGCCGCUUCAGCCCAGGGGUCCGGGUUGGCAGCUUGAGCCCGUCGGUAACGUCGGGCCCAGAGGAAUGGUCGCCCAAGGGGUUCGCCCCCGGACAGAAUCCGGCUUACAGGCCGUCCGCGCAC
rnacentral:RNase_P_RNA from 1 species